CAGUCGUAUCAGCGGAUAAUCAACCUUUAGAUGCGAUUUUGUGGAGUGUGAGGAGCUAAUCGCCUUCAUGCCUGUAUAUUCGUGUACUUGGGGUGUACUUAUUCGUGUGGUAAGUUAACAUCAAUUUUGGUUAUCAUAAAAUGACUGGAGGAAUGUAGCUUCGAUUUCGUAUUGAAGUGUUAUAGCCUUCGGUAGAUGUGAUGAACGAGAUUGAGGAUUGCAACGGAUACCCUUCGGGGCUACCUGUCUGGUCUCUGAUCGUUGCUCUGGUGCCGAAAGCUUGCUUACGGUUAUCAAAGUCGAUGGUCAAUAGGUUAGAACGGGUUAAA
rnacentral:rRNA from 1 species